rnacentral:misc_RNA from 1 species
AUGAAGAACGCAGCGAAAUGCGAUAAGUAAUGUGAAUUGCAGAAUUCAGUGAAUCAUCGAAUCUUUGAACGCACCUUGCACCCUUUGGCAUUCCGAAGGGUAUGCUCGUUUGAGUGUCAUUGUACUCUCACACUUCCAAUCUUUGGAUUGGGAGCAGUGGACUUGGGUGUUGCUGCUUACUGUGGCUCACCUCAAAUCGAUUCGUGCACCUCUUGGUUGGACAUAGUACGGCGUGAUAAGUGUCUUCGCCGGCACCUCAGUAGAGGGUGGCUGAUCAGGAGCUCUGUGCUUCAAACCGUCCUCGGACAACAACUGACAACUUGACCUCAAAUCGAGUAGGACUACCCGCUGAACUUAAGCAUAUCAAUAAGCGGAGGA